rnacentral:rRNA from 1 species
GACAGAGGGCUCAAACGUUGUUCGGAAUCACUGGGCAUAAAGCGCACGUAGGCGGCUUGCUAAGUCGGUUGUGAAAUCCCCCGGCUCAACCGGGGAACUGCGUGUGAUACUGGCGGGCUUGAAUUCGGGAGAGGGAUGUGGAAUUCCAGGUGUAGCGGUGAAAUGCGUAGAUAUCUGGAGGAACACCGGUGGCGAAGGCGGCAUCCUGGACCGAGAUUGACGCUGAGGCGCGAAAGCUAGGGUAGCAAACGGG